CUAUACCUGUAGUGCAUCUAUGUUGUUGAUUAUCAACUAUAUUCGUAGAGAUGUACACAUCGAUACUCUCACCAACACAGAAAUACGUUGCCUCAGCUCUGUUCGCUUUGGCUCUUCACCAUUCUCAGAUUCAUCAAAAUCAAUCUAUCAAUCCUCUCCUCUCUCUAAAUGAGGAGCCCAUUGGCGAAGGUGCAAGCAACAACGACACCGUUUCCGUCUCCGAUUUCCCAUAGCUUUGGAUCCAUGAGAAGUCCGGUUUACUUUUGCCUGUUUUCAGGUACAUGGGAGUGGUGGGUCAAGCUUGGGAUGGGCUCAAAGAAACUGCUGGAGUAUCUACUCAAGCUAGGCACCACGUUGGAUCAGUAUGUUUCCCUUUCGAUUUUCUUGAUGAUUUUUGGGUUUCCUUUUUCGAUGUACUUGGUUUUGAUUUUGGUACAGUUCUUGACAUUACUGUCAAAAAAAAUGAUGGGGUUUAUUUAGAAAUCCAAGAGAAGGAACUUGCUUUACUUAAGGUUGUGGAUGCUACAAUUCUUGGUAUAGAAAGCUCUCUCGUUGUUUCCGAGGAUUGUGAUAGGAAUUGUGACUACGAAACUGUGCCGUGAGAGGUGCGGUUAUCCCGACACAACUGCUGCAACUACUCUCAAUAUAUCCAAUAAUGAAGAUGGGGAUCGAUCAAGAAGUAGAUUCACCCAGAAACCAAUUGACGAGGGAAAAUUUCUUUUAGAGGAGAAGAAGUUGGUUGUUCUUUAUGAGCUUCUUUCAUCUUGUGUGGCUGAUGAUGUUAGUGAUGACGGACCAAAGGGCUAUGAUGCUCGGCACCGUGUGGCACUGCGUUUGCUAGCUACUUGGCUCAAUGUCAAAUGGAUAAAAAUGGAAGCUAUGGAGAUAAUGGUUGCAUGCUCUCUCAUGGGUCAGUUGAAUAAGGAAGAACAUUCAGACGAAGUUGGAAAGAGUAAUAACGAUAAUUUGAAAUUGGCAGGCAUGAUUGGUGCUGCUGCUAUAACAGGAGGAUCCUUGAUAGCCCUUACUGGUGGCCUAGUUGCACCAGCUAUUGGACAUGGAUUAGGUGCCCUUGGUCCUGCAUUAGGCAGCCUUGGUCCUGCAUUAGGCAGC